rnacentral:rRNA from 1 species
CCUACGGGAGGCAGCAGUGGGGAAUAUUGCACAAUGGGGGAAACCCUGAUGCAGCGACGCCGCGUGAGUGAAGAAGUAUCUCGGUACGUAAAGCUCUAUCAGCCGGGAAGAAAAUGACGGUACCUGACUAAGAAGCCACGGCUAACUCCGUGCCAGCAACCACGGUAAUACGUAGGGGGCACGCGUUAUCCGGAUUUACUGGGGGUAAAGGGAGCGGAGACGGCAGAACAAGUCUGGAGUGAAAUCCCGGGGCUUAACCCGGGAAUUGCUUUGGAAACUGGUCGGCUGGAGUGCAGGAGGGGUGAGCAGAAUUCCUGGUGUAGCGGUGAAAUGAGUAGAUAUGAGGAGGAACAGCGGUGGCGAAGGCGGCUUACUGGACUAAAACUGACGUGGAGGUUCGAAAGCGUGGGGAGCAAACAGGAUUAGAUACCCUUGUAGUC